CAUUAAUAUACUUUGAAAUUAUAUCUUAGUUUAAUAACUAAAAUGGUUUGGCAGUGAGUGAUUCUUAUUAGGGGAAGGUGUGGUGUAAAGGAUGUUCCACCUAUUAAUUUACUUUAUUUAUGUUGGUGUAUAUCUGGUUUAAUAUUAUUGUUUAAUAAUUUAAUUUGUGUAUUGUUAAAUUAAGCCAAGUCUAUGUGCUGCUUAUUAAAGUAUUCAUGCGUUACAUUUAUAAGGUUACAUUUGUAAAAAUGUAAUAUUCAGGACUUAAAAGUAAUAUUAAAUUAAUUUGUUAGUGUGAAAAAAGUUUAGCUCA
rnacentral:rRNA from 1 species